AAUGAGGACUAGUAUGAAUGGCACCACGAAGGUUAUACUGUCUCCUUUUUCUAAUCAAUGAAACUAAUCUCCCCGUGAAGAAGCGGGGAUAAACCUAUAAGACGAGAAGACCCUAUGGAGCUUUAAACAACAUAGCACCUACCUUAUAACAUAAAAUUUCCCGAACACUUGAAUUUUACUGGUAUACUGACUAUAAGUUUUUGGUUGGGGUGACCGAGGAGCAUAAUGCAACCUCCAUGUUGAAAGAUACUUAUUCUUAGCUAAGACCUACCAGUCUAAGCAUCAAUAUAUUGACAUCCAUUGACCCAAUAAAAUUGAACAACGAACCAAGUUACCCUAGGGAUAACAGCGCAAUCCACUUCAAGAGCUCCUAUCGACAAGUGGGUUUACGACCUCGAUGUUGGAUCAGGGUAUCCCAGUGGUGCAGCCGCUACUAAAGGUUCGUUUGUU
rnacentral:rRNA from 1 species